UUGGUAGUUUUAAUUGUCAUGCAUUCUUAAUUUUAUACAUGUAUCUUUUCAUAUGAGAUUUAACAAUAACUAUCAUAUUUGUGGUCUGCAUCAUCAUAACAUCUGGUUGAAGCAAAAUUGGACUUAGAAGUUUCAGCGUGAUGGCUGAAGUUAUAAAAUUAAUGCCUGGUUCGACGGAUACAGACUGGAUUACCAAAUCGGAAUCGGAAUCUGAAGAUGAGGGUCGUCGGAAAACAAAGAACUUGGAAAUUCAAGGCCAUACAAGUGUUGGUGGGAGGAUGUUACAUUGUAAAACCUUCUAUGGUUACAAAAUUACAGAUUUAAAAAGACAGUAUUUUGAAGGCGAUUGUGGUAUGUGUAUAGUUGAGUUCGGAGAUGGAGACAGAAAAAGGUAGAGGUUUUGUUGUUUCUUAAUAAUGUUCACCGAAAACGAAUGUUAUAAAUCCUGCAUUUGAUUAAAAUAAAACUUUAAAGUCUGUUGGUAAUCUUAAAUGAUAGUCCUGAGAAUAAAAAUGACAACUGGAUGUACCGUAUAUCGGGUUUUUUCGCGUGUGAUUAAUUUUCGCUUUAUUCGCAGCUACUAAAAAACGCGAAAAUUUGACCCCGCGUAAAUUUCACUGCAAAUUGAAAGAUUUAUCGUUGUUCGAAAGUUUCAUACAUUAUACUGUAAAUUACCGAGUCUUUUGUGUUGUUUGACGGAUCCCAAGAAUGGGCAUACUUAAUAAAGAUCUCUGUUUUCAUAAUAAUUAUAUUGAUUAAUCAUACAUGCCACACCUUUUGACAACGCAGCAAUCAGUGACAUGUUAAAUAAAAUUGAGAAUGGAAAUGGGGAAUGAGAAUGGAAAUGGAGAAUGUUAAUCUAUUGAUUUGUGUCAUAAUCCGAACAUUUUGCAUGUAAUGUAAAAAUAAAAUGAAAAUAAUUCACAUUUACAUGGAUUUUUGUAUAUCUGUAAUGAUCAAAACCUUCAAGUUUUAGCAUGCUCCAAUGUACAUAAUUUAUGUUCCAUAAAAGUUCUCUGAAUUACGUGUAUUUUUGUUUGUAUUAGUCAUAUUUAUUUGUAUUCGAUUUCCUGUCAGUUACACAAGUUUAUGUUGUUUACAUCUUUAUCAAUACGAUAUAGUUAUUUUUUCGCAUGUAUUUCUCAUUCAGCAAAAAUUAUACACAGUGUAAAUUUAACCUGCCCAUUUUGUCAUCAAAUCAUGUAAAAAAGGCCGACGCGGUAUAUGUAAGACAAUAUAAAUAAAAGUAAUAUGACACAAAGUACAACCUUACAGAGAAGACAAUGAAGCAAAGAUGAGCACCAUCCGUUCCGCGGGUCAUGAAUUUAUAGUUUUAAAAUGAAAAUGUAACAUAGAAAAUGAACGAAAAAUUCACAAAAUCAUCGUUACGUAAAAUAUGAAAUGAAAAACAUGAAAUAAAAAUUUUAUUGCUAUAAAACCAAAAACUUAGUUCAAUAUACCAUGUUCUUGUAGAGUCUGUCUGGUUAAAUUGAUUGAUUGAUUGGUGAUUGCUUUACGCCUCAUCAGCACAAAACGGCUAUAUCGCGGCAAGAGCUAUUUCAAAUAUUAUAAUAUAUAUAUAUAUAUAAUUGUUUUUAAUCAGACAUGAAGUCCUUCAAUUUACUAAAACUUUAGUUUAAAGCGAAAAUACUUAUUUACAAAUAAAAAUUCACCAACUAGAUAACAUGAUAAAAACUUAAAAUCAUUUUAAACUAAUGCAACAAAUUCAUAUAGCAUAAACGAUUCGUUGAAAUUCUUCACGCACGUUUUAGACCCAUAAGUUCUUAAUGGUAAAACAUUGUAGGUUAACAAAAUACACAUCCAGUAAUGUCAAAGAUACCCGUUCACGUCUACUUAAUUUGACAUAGUACAAGAUCACCUGUAUGAAUGUGUGAGCUUUAUUAACACACACAGAACUCAUUGUUAUAUCACAUUUUGAGAAGGGACUGACACUGAUGAAGGCUAUUUGUUGGUCCGAAAUAUCUGUCAAUACGAUUUCAUUCCAUCUUUUUUAUAUCUUUAUCUUUUAUCAAUAUCGUUGCACAAAUCCUAAAACUUAUAUAUAUAUAGGAAUACGUGACUUGGCUGCUGGAUCCCGUUUGUUGUCACGAUAACAAAUUAUGUCUGUUUGGGUUGCUAAUCCAAUUUUGUUGAUAAAGUGGAAGGUUUAGCUAGCUACUAAACCAGGUUAAACCCACUAUUUUCAUCCGAAAAUGCUUGUUUCAAGGCAGGAAUAUGACUGUUGUUUUCCUGUCGUUCCGUUGUUUAAUAUAGUCGAGCGUUUGGUUUUGUCAAGUUAUAUGGACUUCAAGUUGGAGUUUGGUAUUUUUGAUAAACGAAAGUUACAUAAACCGUUGACGUGUCUCAUAUUUGCUAAUCGAGAAGUAGAUGACAGAUUGAAACUAAUGGAAGAAGUCAUAUCUUUUGCAAGACAGACCAAAUUGCCUUGUCAUUUUGUAGGAACAAGAGUUUUACUGAUCUGUGAUUCUACCGAUAUUGCUUUCAUCCACUACAAGACAGAUAAAGUAAUAAUUAUGGAACUUGUAAAACAAGGAUUUCGUAGAUUCGAAAGAGUGGACAUCAAUGGAUCAUGGAAACCAGGAAACGAAAUGGAUUACUUUAAUGAAAUUGCAGAAUAUUUCUUCGGAUUGUACGUUGUACCUGUCAUUAUACCCAUUGGAAACAAUUGGAAGAGCCAAAAAAUGCAGAUACCUAUUAUUCGAUUAAAGUUUAACUCCUACGUUUACCAUUUUAUGUAAACCAGAGCGACAUGUCCGAUGUUAGUGUGUUAUGGCCGGAAGAAGUUGAUCAGAGUUUUUCAGAAUACACAACAGAUACUAGUGAAGGAUGAUUUUCUGUCUGAAAAUGUUAAUUCGGAAAACUGGUGUGACUUUGAUAUUAUCGUUUGUCAGAUGCUUAUUAGAGAAAGAAAUACAUGCAUUCAAUCAUACUGCAUUGUUCAUGUACCUUUUGAAGAAAGGGGAGUGGAAUAUUCCAAAAAAGUACAUAAAAUGGCCAAUCGAUCUGAAGAGUGCUCUAGAAUACAUAUAUGAGGAGGAGUAUGAAUAUAUAAAGGAAUUAUGGUUAAACCAGAAAUGUUUUACCGACAUGGAUUACAAACUGCCUGAUCACAAAGGUUUUACUGGACCAGAAGCAAAGCUUAUGAAUAGGGAUUCUGAAUGUUACGGUCUUGUAUUUUUGGCUUUGCUGCAUAAACAGUACUGGAUUGGUGCACAACAGCUUGUAGACUUGGAAUAUAUUGGGAAUCAUCAUCUUCUUGUUGGGUGUGCUAUAUUAGAAGAUGAAAUCAGAAAUUGGAAAACAGCGACACACUUGAAGGAAAAACUACAACGUUUAAAAAAUGUCUUCACUGAAAGAGUUAUCUGCAUAAUUCGGCAUAUCUAUGAUGCUGAUGUUACAAAGGAACGAAAGAAACAAAUGACAAUUAAAGAGAACAAAACAGAAGAAAGAGAGCUGGGUGAUGCCAUCAAUCAUGCAGGAAGGCUUUUGUUGAAUCAUGGAUAUCUAAUGGAUGCUAUCAACAGUAAAAACCAAAAUUUCGUUGAAAACGACACAGUAAAGAAAAUCUUAAAAAAGAUGUGGUAUGGUACAGAGAAUAUAGAUGGUCAGACGACUUUUUGGUAUAUUGUUCUGUUCUCAGUCCAUCUAUUUGUGAUGCCUUUAUUAAUGAUUAACAUGGAGAUGGAUAAUCGUCUAUUACUUUGGUAAGAUAAAU